rnacentral:tRNA from 1 species
UCCGGCGUGGUCUAGUGGCUAGGACACCUGGCUCUCACCCAGGAGGCCAGGGUGCGAUUCCCGGCGUCGGAA